AUGCACGAGAAUUGCUUGAACCGGGAGGCAGAGGUUGCGGUGAGCCGAGAUCACGCCACUACACUCCAGCCUGGGCAUCAGAGAGCCCUCACCUGGGAGGAGAACAUCCAGCCGCUGGCAAUCAGGACUUAUUUCCCCUUCAGCCCUGGAGAAGCGGCAGAGCCAGGUGUGACACUCUCUCACUCUUUCUCUCUCUGCCUGAUUCCCUUUCUAUCAGGAUUCUAGAUGAGGGUAAAGAGUAACAAAUCAAUGCUUAUGUUAUUGAAGAGGUUUGUGGCAGGGAAUAACCAUGUAACUCGCUGGGUCUGGAAUUAAAACCAGGGCUUGGAUGUCAAGCAAGGGAAAAGACCAAACUAGAGUGCUGAUAUGUUUGUAAACAAUGCUUUGACAAGAAUGGCCAUUUCUCUCGGUUUUUGGAUGUGUUUUACAGUGAUCCACAAGAACCAUAUAAGGCUGAAGCACAUCAGGAUCACCCGGGGGCUGAACAUGCAGUUUGCUAAACUUCAUCGCCAACCUCUUUGAUUAAGUAGGUCUGGGGUGGGGUCCAAGCAGUUGUGUUUCUAAUAAGUUUCCGGGUGAUGCUGAUGCUUUUGGCCAAGGACUACACUUUGAGAAUGACUUCUAUGGACCAAGCUAUUUGCAUAGAUCAAUUUCUGCACAGGUUGCAGUGCUGACUAAGUGGAUGUGAUGAACUAAUAAAUGCAACACCAGGACAAAACAAAAUUUAGUCUGCCUUGCUCCAAUUUUAUUCUAAUUAACAUCUGCUCUCUCUUGGGCUCCCUGCAAAAGUCUUUUGAUGUUUGCAUUCGUAACCACCACCAAAAUGAGCUUGAUGCAAAAAUUCAUUCAAUCGCUAAACAUUUUAUUUGUGAUGACAACAAAUUUUUAUUUCUCUAAUUUGAGAGUUGUUCUGUUUCGUCUUCUAUGGUGGCCUGAGCAGGUGUUUCUUUCUCUCUGACAUCCACCAGGCCUCACUGACUAAGAGUUUUCUAAUCUUUUCUCACCAUUUGCUCUUCAGAAUUCUGAUGUUCUUGGGGCUGGGGCCUGCUUUGUAUUUUAGGGGUCUUUGCCAAUUUAAACUGUCACUAUUUUAGUCUCAGAUAUAAAUAAAUAAUUUCUGAUAUCUGAGUCAUAAGGUGAAAUGAAAUAGUUUGGAAUAUAUUCCAAGACCUUGGCAUUCUUCAGGGAUAUGGUCCAAGACCUUCAUCAAUUCUCAAACUUGAGAAUUUCUAAUGCAGUCUGACUCCCACAUUCUUGCCUCAGUGAGACACUCUGAAACGUAGUUCCAGGAAAACAAGCCAGACAGCACCACGAAAACAUCUGAAGAAAGCAAUGCAAAGAGUUCAAUGGAGACAGGAAGUAAGGGCCAAAGAGGUCUUCUGGAAUACAAUGCUGAAAAU
rnacentral:lncRNA from 1 species